rnacentral:rRNA from 1 species
CCUACGGGAGGCAGCAGUGAGGAAUAUUGGACAAUGGGCGCAAGCCUGAUCCAGCCAUGCCGCGUGCAGGAAGACGCAUCUAUGGUGUGUAAACUGCUUUUGUACAGGAAGAAACACUCCCUCGUGAGGGAGCUUGACGGUACUGUAAGAAUAAGGAUCGGCUAACUCCGUGCCAGCAGCCGCGGUAAUACGGAGGAUCCAAGCGUUAUCCGGAAUCAUUGGGUUUAAAGGGUCCGUAGGCGGUUUAAUAAGUCAGUGGUGAAAUCUGGUCGCUCAACGAUCAAACGGCCAUUGAUACUGUUAGACUUGAAUUAUAAGGAAGUAACUAGAAUAUGUAGUGUAGCGGUGAAAUGCUUAGAUAUUACAUGGAAUACCAAUUGCGAAGGCAGGUUACUACUUAUGGAUUGACGCUGAUGGACGAAAGCGUGGGGAGCGAACAGGAUUAGAUACCCUGGUAGUCCACGCCGUAAACGAUGGAUACUAGCUGUUGGGCGCAAGUUCAGUGGCUAAGCGAAAAGUGAUAAGUAUCCCACCUGGGGAGUACGUUGCAAGAANGAAAACUNAAAUGAAGUAGAGAGNGAGAGAGACGAGACGACACGAGGGAGAGG